rnacentral:lncRNA from 1 species
CCCCAAAGCAGAGCAUGGUGCAGGGUGUUCUCUGGCUCUGGGCAGUCUCUCACUCAUGUUUCUGUCUUUCAGGGUGUUGCCUUGCAGGUCUUCAGACCAAUGUCACAGAGAAGAUCUGGACAGGUGUGUCCUCACAACCCCGGGGCUGCAAGAGCGAGGGGCAGGAGGAGUCUUCAGGGAAAAAGGAGGAGCAGUAAGGGGGAAAACAUCCUGAUGUUUUCCCAUGAGUGGGUGGGAGCCACUGCCAAACCUGGGUAGGCACCCGUGGAUCGGAGGUUGUGACCCUGGGAAGGGGCUCUGGUGCUCUGUCCACCCCCUGUCUGAGUUCAGAUGAGAUUUGCAGACUGUUCCCUGCAGAAUUUUGUCAGUACCCCGGGGCUGUGGGUGGCUCAGGGUCGGGAAGCCCAGGUUUGGAAAAGAACCACCCCCGUGAAGGAGGCAAUGACAGCAUGUGUGUCCCUGCACAGUGGGAUGGUGGCUCACAAGUACCUCUGUGGUGUUGUGUGUGCAGGACUCAACCUCUUGUGCAUCUUCUUUGGCUUGGCGGUGGGGACACUCAUCUACACACCCAUCCUUGGCUUCCUACUGUGGCAGUGCAGAAGGAACAGAACAGGAAAGAUCACAAGUAAGAAAGUGGCAGAAGUGGAUCAGCUCAGCAGGGAAGCCCCGGUGACAGGGACUGAGGACCUGACCUAUGCCAACCUGAAGUUUGAAAAGGAGACAAAACCUUCCUCCUCCAGCAUCAUUUACACCGAGAUCAAGCCAUCACAACAGAAUGGUGGGGAUGCCAGUGCAGCCAGCACAGCAGUGGAUGUCUUCCCCAGCAGAGAGGGCAAAUGA